GCCCUCAUUAUAUUGAUGACAACACUGGAGAAAUAGUUUAGUAAAAGCAGCUACCAAAUCUUUAGUAGCCAAAACAUUGGUAAAAUAUACAAAUGUUUUGUAAAUAUUACCAAAAUUGCGUAAAAGCGAUGUCAGACGCAAUGAACGUUCCUACCUGAGAUUCGUAGAUUUUACUUCAUACCAAGGCGACUAGACGUAUAUUCUAAGGUGGGCCAACUUGCUAAAAGCACUCUUCAGCCAUCUUGGAAGUCUACUGUGUUUUGUUUGUAAACAAAACACAAUACGCUUGUGCCCAAGCUCGCUCGUGAUCAGUCUGUCUCUCUCACGCUUCAAGGAAAUAAUUCCCCUUCUGCUUUCUUCCGUACUGUUUUCAUAUACCGCUCCCCUAACCAACUUAGUGACGAAACGGCCUCACCUAGUACCAUAGACCCGUCUUGCUUCAUACCAUUAGUAACUUUGUUUUUUUUGUCAUACCUAACAUCUGUGAUGUGCGCACUUUGCAAUCGCCAUUUCUAUUUUGGAGAUGAAGCGAUUCGGAGAGACACGAGAGAACAAAAUGCGGAUGAAACGUGCUGGUGCUACCGACACUCCCUAAAUAAUGCAAACUAGAGCGAUGCAGCAGGAAGAGGAACGGGAACUUUCCUCGUGUACGCUGCUCAUAGAAUAAGUUAUAUAUUAUUAUUAUAAUGUAUUCUAAAUAUGUGGAGUUAAAUGUAAUCAAAUAGAAUUUUUUAAAUUAAAAAUAA